AUGAGUGAUCCAGCUACGAAUUCUUCAACUGUGGCAGGGAGCGAUCUUGUCGUAAAACCCGCCUCCCUGGUGACCAAGCCCGCUUCUUUAACCACAUCAACAGGCACCCCCGAAGUGGACAAGAAGAGGUCAUCGGGAGCUAUCAAUGACAAAGAUGUUGGGAUAACUGCAAAGAAGCCAAGGACGUCUGCUUGCGAUGUCUCCAGCAAAUCAAAUAAUCUAGAAGGCUUUUAUUCCCCCGAGGCAAAGGAACUCCGUGUAUUAAUUGAGCAACACCAGAAUAUCCUUGCUGGAGAAAACACUCUGCUCGAGAAGCUCAAAGUCCCUCCAACGAGUAACAUAUCAACGCCAAGCCUUGUUCUCCCGCCCGGAAUAGCAGCAAAGUACAUCUCAAUAGGACUCAAGGAUAUCCAAGAGGCGCUAAGGGAGCAGCCGAUCAAUAAGGAGCUAACCAUAACUAAAAUCGAGUCUGUGAUAAGUAUGUGGAAGAUCUCGUAUGCGAACGAGGUCCCGCCAGACCUUGAGAUUCUGAUUCGACACCUUGAAGCAGUGGUGGCUCGUUUGGGCGGAAAAGGUGGUCUUGCCACUUCCCACACAUCGGAACCCGCGCCGGCGCAAGUGUCAUCUCUGUUGGAGAAACUCGAUGCAGCCCAUGCGGGGAUCACUCAAGGACUUUGCCGCCUCGAGAAGGAAGGGCCGCGCCUAGAGGGGCGCCUUGCCAACCUCGCCUCCAUCUGCAACAGGCAAAAGAAGUUGGCCGAAGAACAUCGGAUGCUUUCCGGCAAACAUCAGCAGCUUGCCAAGGAGUACAAGGCCCUCUGCGAGAAGGAAACCGAGAUGGCAGCACUGGCUGAAAAGCGAACGUGCGUCCUAGCUGACAUGAUGACUUCUAGCUCCUGCCAUCUUGAAGCUCAUGAGGAUGCAGUACGGAGUUCGUCACAGGUGGCCGAGUCAUACACAAGACGCCGUGCGGAGGCGGUUGCCUUCCUGGCCGGCGGCGGAACGCUUCCGGAGAUCGCGACGAUCCUAGCAUAUAAAGCUCCUGAGUGA
rnacentral:rRNA from 1 species